rnacentral:lncRNA from 1 species
CAGGGGAGCACUGAGUGGCAGAGAGGGUGCUGCCAGGGUGCACCUAGGCAGCUUGCUGAAAAGGCUUCAGGGCCCUCCUCCUGUACCAUGCCCCCUUUCCCCUCAGGGGGCUCCUCUCCAUGCCUGGACCCCCAAUUCAGAAGUGGUGCAGGCAAACUGGUGUGUCCUGCACAGGGCCGCAUUAAGGGGCCUUUUCGCAUGAGUGGGCCAGCUGCCUGGCUGUGCCCAGCCUGCCCUCGUGCAUGGGAGGGACCGCAAGGGAACAGCAUCCUGGGUGCACCAACCCAAGAAACCAGCUGGUGUGAUGAGAUACAGGAGUCAGGUACAGCCAUGGCAGGCCACGAGACCACCCUCUGGAGGGGUCCCUCCCUCAGCCUGGCAGGCUCAGGCUGCAGUGUGGGCCUGGAAGAGACCCUGCCUUUGCAUCCUCUGGGAGCCUAAGCUCCUCCCUGCAAAGCCUCUCUGACGCCAAAGAACAUUGAGGCCUCAGUUACAGCACACAGCUGGACUUUGUUUUCUGGCUCUGUCCCUCCUCCCACCCUUGUCCAGGAUGUCUCUUGAGCCCCCUGUGCCUGUCCCAGACCCUGGCCCCUUCCCCACUUCCUAUUCCUCAUAUGUGUUUCUCCAGCCAUUCUGGCCUAUCUCACCAGAGGACUCCCCCUGCCAGUUGGGCUUCCAGAACCAUCACAGAUCAACAGACCUGGCCCCCCACUGUGGUCCACCCUGAUAGCUCAAACUGGCCCAUCCACCUUCCUGCAUGGCCAGGGGGCCCACUGAAGUUUUGGGUGCUGUAGGUGGCCCAGCAAGAGGCCCCCUUGGUGAAUUGAUGGCUAGGGUUCUGA